CUGUUUAAACCGGCCUCUCGAUGAUACACCACCCUAAUUAUUAGGUCAGUCGUAUUCGGAUUACACGAGGUCCCAACUGCUCCUAAUUAACUCUUAUUAUCAUACUUGAACCAGUCACCCACGAUGACCAACCUGUCGGUAUAUUCGAUGAUCACACGCGAUGUACACAAAGGGUGUCUCAAGGGAAGCCACAGGUGACUCUCGAUAACUCGAAGUUCAAGGGACCUGGAUAAAACUUCGAGAAAUCGAGAGAUCGAAAUUUGGAAAUUGAAGGUCCGCCGGUAUGGUUCACAUUUUACAGUAACCGGAAAUGUUUACCAACAAGAUCAAUGUUUUGACAACAUCGUUUUGACAUGUUUUCCUUCAUAUUCGUAAGGUAGUUUAAUAUCAAAAUAAAACCUUAUUUUGCAUUAAUAAAAACAUUUCAAAGCUUA